GGCCGGGUAGCUCAGAUGGUUAGAGCACGGGAUUCAUAACCCCGAGGUCAGGAGUUCGAUUCUCCUCCUUGCCACCA
rnacentral:tRNA from 1 species